rnacentral:rRNA from 1 species
GUAGUCCUACGGGAGGCAGCAGUGGGGAAUAUUGCACAAUGGGGGAAACCCUGAUGCAGCAACGCCGCGUGAGUGAAGAAGUAUUUCGGUAUAUAAAGCUCUAUCAGCAGGGAAGAAGAUGACGGUACCUGAAUAAGAAGCCCCGGCUAACUACGUGCCAGCAGCCGCGGUAAUACGUAGGGGGCAAGCGUUAUCCGGAUUUACUGGGUGUAAAGGGAGCGCAGACGGCAGUGCAAGUCUGGAGUGAAAGCGCGGGGCCCAACCCCGGAACUGCUCUGGAAACUGUGCGGCUAGAGGACUGGAGG